UAGGGAAUCUUCCACAAUGGGCGCAAGCCUGAUGGAGCAACGCCGCGUGAGUGAAGAAGGUCUUCGGAUCGUAAAACUCUGUUGUUAGAGAAGAACAUGCAGGAGAGUAACUGUUCUUGUAUUGACGGUAUCUAACCAGAAAGCCACGGCUAACUACGUGCCAGCAGCCGCGGUAAUACGUAGGUGGCAAGCGUUGUCCGGAUUUAUUGGGCGUAAAGGGAACGCAGGCGGUCCUUUAAGUCUGAUGUGAAAGCCUUCGGCUUAACCGAAGAAUUGCAUUGGAAACUGGAGGACUUGAGUGCAGAAGAGGAGAGUGGAACUCCAUGUGUAGCGGUGAAAUGCGUAGAUAUAUGGAAGAACACCAGUGGCGAAAGCGGCUCUCUGGUCUGUAACUGACGCUGAGGUUCGAAAGUGUGGGUAGCAAACAGG
rnacentral:rRNA from 1 species